rnacentral:misc_RNA from 1 species
GAAACAUUCGACUCGGCCUAUCGAUAGAGACCGACAAUCCAUUCAUACCCAACAAUCUAAAACAUUUUAUGUCAAACGAUUAAACAGUUUAAUGCUGAUAACAGUGAUUUCAAAUGUGAAAUAAAAAAAUCCAUAUAAUUGUGUAUUUAUUUUAUUUUUGCAUUCGUCUCACCCAAGGAAAACGUACUAUUCGUUGACAAAGAAAAAAAGUAAAGAAAAUUAUAAGGAUUCAAAACACGCACAUUAAAUAAACCACUGCCGCCUGCCUAAAAAAGGGAAAGAAAUCAAAUAAAACACUUAAUAAGAAGGCAAAGAAAACGUAUAACAAAUUGCAAAUAAACAACUUACAAAUAACGUACGGGACCCUCAUUCACUUCUUUCAAACUGAGGUGGCAUUAUUUAACAGUGUGUAAAUUAAAAAACAUUAAAAUAAUACGGGUUAAAAAGCAACAGAAUGGAUGAGGAACACGACGACGAAAGAAUAUGAAAUUAAAUGGGGCUUUAAAGCCCCGCCAAGGAGCCUCCAAACUAGGAAGCUCCCCUGGUGUUGUCCAAAAAAAGUAUCGCGUCAAGCGAUAUUAUAAGGUGAAUGAAAAUGUAGUUAAAGGUCUGCCACUUAGUGAAUGUGGUGUGAAUAAUGAACAUUUUACUGAAAUCAUAAAUACUAGAAAAAAUAUAAAUAUUUAUAAAUAUAAUAAUCAGCAGCAGCAUACAACACCACUAGCACAACAACAGCAGCAGCAGCCGCAAAAAAGGAAUAUUGGUGAACAUUUUAGUAGCAGCAACAACAGAAGCUUAAGUAGUUGUAAUAUUUUAACUUCUACAGGAACCAAAAAGCAAAAUAAUUCAAAUACUACACAAUAUAGUAUUUCUUCAGUUACAAUCACUAGGUCUAGUUGUAUUGAUUCGAAUAGCUGUAAAAACAAAGACAAAAUUAAGCAAACAACAAAAACAAGUGUAGCAGCGAAGACUGCAGCUGCGGCAGAGAUUGUAGCAAUAGAAAAAUAUAACAAAAAGAAAACAAAAAUUGAAAGUGAUUUGAAGCAAAGAGCAAUCAACAACAUCACAACACGUCAACUUAAGAAUAUAACGAAUAUAAACAAAGAGAGGAAUAAUAGCACAAAUAACAAGAGCAGCAGCAACAAGAAAACAAAAGAAGUUGAAGUCGUUAAAACGACAUUUAAUACUUCAAAGUAUCACGUAAUUGUUAAUAAAAACAACAACAUCAGCAGCAGCAACAGCAACAGCAGUGAGGACAAUAUUUAUUAUAAGGAGGUCAACAAGCCCUUAUUAAUAAUUCCGAAAUUUUAUGAAAAUCUCAAUUUGACAGACUUAAUUUCGCGGUUAUUUAUUCAUUUAAAAUUGUUGCUUUUCUUUGUGUUCCCGCACGCUAUUAAACAUUUGACCGGAAAUCCAUUCGCUCGUAUAGUAAGUUAUCGUAGCUUCGGUUUGAUUGGUUAUAAUUUAGCGAAAAUCAUGCGUGCCUCACAAUCGUUAGAGAGUUCAUUUGAACGCAUUUGUUUUAAAAAUGUGAACAAAACCCCUUUAUCCCCCUCUAUUGCCUUAUGCUUGUUGGUAUACGCAGCAGUUGCCAUUUUGCUGCCUCAGCCAGUAGUCGGCGAUGAUGGCGAUUUCUUUCCAAUCAGUGGCUUAGAAACCACAACUCCGGAAUUCGAUUAUGCCAGUCGUGGCCAAAAAAAGUUCGGAGAUAAAUGCGAAAAUACUUUAGAAUGUGGUUUCCCUGGCUCCAUCUGUGAUCCAAAGAAAAAAUCAUGUCAGUGUACAGAGGAUUUGCCGGUAACUAAUCACAUUGAUAAAUGUGGUAAAGAGGCCGCGGUAAAUGAAACCUGUUUCUUUAAUGAACAAUGUGAAGUGAAAUACUUUCAAACAGAAUGUCGAGAUCAACGGUGUGUAUGUCGUUUUGACAUGACACCCGUUUGGUUGAAAGAUGGCUCUGUUGAGUGCAAAGGACGUGGCGAUAAAAAAGGACCCGAAACGUAUAUAGAUCCAGCAAUGAUUGGCGUCCUGAUUGGUAUGGCAUUAAUGUUUAUCAUUAUAUGUGUGGUUUUAAGAUUGUUUAGUCAGGCACGUUGGCGCGAAAAUCGUACUAUCUUCAAUACACCAAAUCCACGCUUGAUGAAUGUGUCGCUUUUGCGUGAGAGUAAACUAUUGCACGGACAAGAACGACGAGGAUCUCGAAUGUCAGUAAGAGCACCAUCUCGUCAACCAAGUAUGGCAUCAUUGCGACCGCAUUCCCCUAAUCCGUCGUUAGGGCGUAUGACGCGUUCUAAAAGUAAUACUCGAUCCAGUGAUUCUCGCGUUAGUGAUGCAUCAAACUGCUCACGUUUGCUUGAGCACCAUACAGCCAACACACACCAUGCCUCGCACACGCAUGCGAAUACAACCCUACCACAUGCUAGUACGACCAAUCAUGGCCCACAAACAAGUGUGUCACCAUUAUCUAUAAAUGCUCCAACCACAACUAUAACAUAUGUGAAUCAAACACCUGUGGCUGGAAAUACUGCCUGCAGCUUAAAUUUGAUGACUCCACCGCCAACAAUUACUAAUAAACCAAAUAAAUUUUAAUUUAAUUUAAUUAUAAAGAAUCGAAACACGAUGAAAAAAAAAAACAAACAUAUCAUCAUAUUCUUCAAAAAAAUAAAAAAAAUAAGACAAUUGUAAACGAAACCCUACGAGGCUCACGCUCGAAUUCACAUGGUAGUAAUGCAUCAGCCACCUCAUUAAGAUCAACGCGUAGUAAUUCUGUUUCUCCAGCAGGUAUCGUUGUGAAUAACUCCCAUCAUGAGAGGAAAGGUUCAACAUACCAGCCACAUCAGCAUCAGCAUUCAGCACAACAGAAAAACCAACAGCAA